CGCUUGUUUUCACCACCUGAAGAAGAAGGAGAACAAAGCGAGCGGAGAAGAAGCUUUCAGUCCUCUGUGGCCCACACGAUGGAGGAGUGCUGCUGAGACUCUGCUAACAUGCACUCUAAACAGCAAAACGUGAUCUCCGCCUGGUGGACCCUCCAUGAAUAGCUCAGCAACAGGUUUAACCAAGGUAUCAGGAAACUAGGAAGGCCCUCACAGGUCAGUCAAGCGUGAACAAAGGAUUCCCUUCCGUCUGCAUCGCAGUGAUAUCCCCUCCACCCCAUUCCAUCUCACCACACCCCUUUUGUAGGAGGCACUGAAAUAGCACUGAGCCGACCACUUCUGUAAAUUGUGGGUAGUUUUUCAGUAUGUUAUAAAUAACAAUAAUCACAGGAAUUAACUCUGAAUACAAACAUAUGAACUGAUAUUCAUAUGCGUAACGUUUUCACUAUGAUGCUAUACUCUAUUGUACUCCUAUUACAUCCACUGAGUCACUCAGUGUCACUUUGGGAGGAACGCAAUCGGACGUGGUCACAUUCCUUUAAAUCUACUCAACCAAAACUCCACCUGGAAACCAAGCAGCUCAAGGAAUGAGAGUGUAGGUGUAUAUUAUGUAGUUUUUGUCAUGAUUUAUUUCUGUACCCUGUGGCUGUAGGAAGUGUGUCCGACCCUCCUGUUCCUACUUCCUCUUCUGGUCCAGUCACUUUCCCACUGGGGAAAAUGGAAGGCAAUUCUCUUCCUCCUCUGCCAGCCCCAGUAAUCUGAGAGAAGACGGUAAACAGUCCACUAAUGAUGAUUGAUUUAGAUUGACCAUAAAUUAGACA